AGCAGUAGCCGCGGGAAUACAGAGGAUGCAAGCGUUAUCCGGAAUGAUUGGGCGUAAAGCGUCUGUAGGUGGCUUUUCAAGUCCGCCGUCAAAUCCCCGGGCUCAACCCUGGACAGGCAGUGGAAACUACCAAGUUGAAGUACGGUAGGGGCAGAGGGAAUUUCUGGUGGAGCAGUGAAAUGCGUUGAUAUCGGAAGGAACACCAAUGGCGAAAGCACUCUGCUGGGCCGACACUAACACUGAGAGACGAAAGCUAGGGGAGCAAAUGGGAUUAGAUACCCCCGUAGUCCCUGUCUCUUAUAA
rnacentral:rRNA from 1 species